rfam:Gossypium hirsutum cultivar TM-1 chromosome 2, whole genome shotgun sequence
UAUUAAAAAAUUCAUACAUUUAUAUUGUUAAAAGCUAACAUAUAGCUGGAGGAAUACUUAGAUAAUUACUCGUGGGGUGUCACAUGUAACUCAUGCUAACGUAUAGGACCAAUUUUUAACAGUAUAAAUGGAUGAAAUUUAUAACA